GAUGAAUGCUGGCGGCGUGCCUAAUACAUGCAAGUCGAGCGAACGGACGAGAAGCUUGCUUCUCUGAUGUUAGCGGCGGACGGGUGAGUAACACGUGGAUAACCUACCUAUAAGACUGGGAUAACUUCGGGAAACCGGAGCUAAUACCGGAUAAUAUUUUGAACCGCAUUGUUCAAAAGUGAAAGACGGUCUUGCUGUCACUUAUAGAUGGAUCCUCGCUGCAUUAGCUAGUUGGUAAGGUAACGGCUUACAAAGGCAACGAUGCAUAGCCGACCUGAGAGGGUGAUCGGCCACACUGGAACUGAGACACGGUCCAGACUCCUACGGGAGGCAGCAGUAGGAAAUCUUCCGAAAUGGGCGAAAGCCUGACGGAGCAACGCCGCGUGAGUGAUGAAGGUCUUCGAAUCGUAAAACUCUGUUAUUAGGGAAGACCAUAUGUGUAAGUAACUGUGCACAUCUUGACGGUACCUAAUCAGAAAGCCACGGCUAACUACGUG
rnacentral:rRNA from 1 species